GCCAGGUGUGGUGGUGCACACCUAUAAUCCCAGCAUCUUGGGAGGCUGAGGCAGGAGGAUCCAGUGUUCAAAGCCAGCCUCAGUAAUUUAGCAAGGCCCUAAACAACUCAGUGAGAUCCUGUCUCUA
rnacentral:sRNA from 1 species